GCCUGAUGCAUGACGGUCAUUUUGUCUGUUUACGUGCGAAUGACCCGGAGAGUUGCAGAGUGGACGGUGCGGUUUUCCGUCGUGUGAAGUAGUAGGUAAAUGACAGUGUGUUGAGUUGUGCAAUCUCCGGGGAGUUCCACGUGUAAUUGGUGAAACCUGUUGGAAUGCCAAUCAACGACAGGAUUGUGUGGCUGUGUCAGCACUGCUGAGAGCUCCCCUCCAAAGCGACAGUUGACCAGUGCUGCUUGUCAGCCUUCAUUGUGUCUGAUGGCUGGGAGAGAAGGAUGUCGAGCGGCAGGGCCAGCGCAGCGAAGCCAAGGUUGCAGGAGUCCCCUUUUCCCGGAAAGACCAGAGUAGCCCCACUCCCCCUUUGUUUAGAACUGAUUAAAUGCCCUUUGAGGCACUCAACUCUGGACUUUCAUUUUAGGAACAUCUGAAGGGUGUUCUAAACAUCGUACAUACCUCCUUUUAUUUGAUGUUUUACUGAUGUUUUGUUUGUAGCAGUUUUAAUAAAUUGUUCAAACUGUUCUUGGUGCUUGUCCCUUUCAAUGGUGGUAAUACUUACAGCUAGUAUAAGAAAAAUUAACACACUACUGUGACACUAACAUUGUUUUAUUAAAAAUGCAAUGUUAAACACAAAACAUAACUAAUUGUUAGGAGAGACAGAGAAGCUCCUGAAGGGCAUGAUUUAUUCAUGUCCUACCAUAUCCAUAUGUGUUUUUAAUGCAAAGUCAAAGCUCACAUGUUGGCUAAACAAACAUACAAAAAAAGUGUUUUCUGGUCCUCUAAUUUGUCACUUAGCGUACCUUCAGCAUCCUGGUAAUAGUUUCUCCAUAAGGAUAUAACCAUAUCCUCAGCAACUCUCUCCAUUCUGGAGGCAAAUGAAUGCUGAAAAGAUCAUCCAUCUGUGCUUGGCUCGUAGCAGAAUGGGGCGAGAGCUGUCUGUAUGCUUCAGAUUUUCUCCAUAAUACUUAGAGUUUUCAGUCCUUUACAGAACCUGUACAAAACACAUUGAAUAAUUGCAUUUAUUUUCAGAAUUAAAAUUGUGUUCCUAAU